AAAUGGAGUCAGUUACAUGCACGUUCCUAUCUCUUUAACACCUGAAACAGUUAAAACUCUCGCACAUUCAUUGUUUAAAUCAAAUUCAUUCUCUAUGAGGACUUUUCUUUUUUUUUUUUCCUCAAUUAUUAAAACAAUUGCCAUUCAUUAUUGUUUUUCAUCCGCAUCAAAAGUUAAAUUCUUACUGUAAAAGUAAUAAGCUAUAGUUUGUUCUAAGUCUUGAAGUUCCGGAAAAGUGAAGAAAUUAUGAGUAACAAGGCACAAUGACGCAGAAAUUACCUUCACAAGGAUUUGACAUGUCCCUUCUUAUUACAGAAAUUAUAGGUUUCAAGUACAUGGUAUUGAAGAUUGAUAAAGUGAAUUAUAUUGGGGGAAUGUACAAUACAUAUUGGAUGACUGUCAAAGUAUUAAAUCUGACUCUUGGUACAUCUAUCAAAAAUUUUCAAAUCCAUGCAACUACAAGUUGUGUCGAUAAUGAUAAAGGGACCUUCUAUUUCUUUCCUAAAGAAGAGCUUGUUUUAUUGCUGAGCAAAGGAAAAGAAUGGUGUCGAAGUUGGCUUCUACAGAGGACGUGUUGAAUGCAUUGCUAGAAUACUUAGUUGAUCCUCAGUUGCCUUUUAAUGCAUCUGUCUUUAAGGAAGCUCCUACUCUUUCUCAGCAGCAGUCUGUAGCCACACAGGUCUUCUAUCGUUUCCUCUCACCCUUUACUAAGAAUGUGGGUUCUCUAUUUACCUUAUAUACUCAUUGCAUUGCAUUCUUUUUGACAUGAUCUCUGACCCUUGACAUUUCAAAAAAGGAAGCACGCCUGAUUUAAAAUUUUUAUUAUCAGUUAGAGGCAGUAUUUAAGAAUUUUUAUUAUCAGUUUGGACAAAACUAGUUUAGGAUCGAGGUUGUUAUUUCUAUUUGUUAAUCUGUUUCCUGGUUCAUGUGGCUUUUCUCCUCUCCGCUGUAUUCCUUUAUGUGAAAAAAUGUUGUUUUUUGACAUAGGUAACAAUAUAAUUAAUCAUCGGCACACUGAUUGUGCAAAACACAUUUACAAUUCCCAAAAAGAAAAAAAACUCCUUACAAGGAUCCUGUGGUACCUUUGAAGGGUUCAACAUCAUUGAAUAAUUGUUUAUACCAAAAGUGAACCAAAAACAAAUAGUUCAUCUUGAUCUUCUGUAUAGUGUUUUAGUUAUCAUCAAAGCAUCUUAAGUUUCUCUCGUUCCACAUAGUCACCGCACAUACAGGUACUAUUUGCCUCAUUUUCUUGGUCUAGAAAAUCCUCUAGCACUAUUCCAACAUCCACCUGAUGUCUUUGGCAUAUACCAUGUAACUCUGUUUUUUUUAAGUAAAAUAACAUUGAAGUAUGGAUCAGCUUUCGCCACUAUAUAAAAAGUUGUAAGUUUUCCAAUAUUACCUCUGGCUAACUUUUGAAUUCUUUUCCUUGUUCCUUAUUUCCUUCUUUGGUUGCAUGUUGUUGUGAUGCUUUACAACUACUACGAGAGGAAGCAAAAUCCACAGGCGCAAUAUUUAGAUUUGGAGUCAGUUUGCAAGUUGGCCAUAACUCUGAGGCCGGCGUUGAUGUCAUAAAUGAAGUUCAUGGAUCAUCCUGAUCAAACUGCCUCCAAGGACAUGAACAAUGAUCUCUCGGUGGCUGAAAAUUAAUCCAAGAUGCUUGCAACAUAUCUUGUGAUUUGGAUACCUCAAGAGAUGUUCCAUCGAUAAAAAGAUGGUUAAUUUCCAAAGUUUCUGUCUUAUUGCUAGACUCUAAGAAAGAAACUUGUUCUCUGCUUCUUAUUUCUGUCACUGAAGGGGUUCGGUCUCUCAUCGAAAAAAGUCUUGAGCUUCCCACUUUUGAAAUAGAAAGUACGAUGGAGAGAAAAAAAAAGGCAAACCUGUAUAAGACCAGUGACUAUAGAGCAAAAUGAUGAUGACUCUGACUUUCAGCAGAUUGUAUUUUUGGCUAUCAAGGAUGCAACAGGGAUUGUGGUCUUUUUGUUGCCGCGUACGCCGAGUAUUUGAGAGAUAGAUUACAAGUACCAAAUGAUGGACUUGAUAUCGGAUUACUCCACAAAAGAUAUUUUGCUCUUUUAUGGAAAUACGGAGAAGCGAAAGCUCAGAAGCCGUAUGCAAG